UCUCCCGGCACGACGCCGGCCGCCCCCCCCCCCACCCACCACCACCAGGGCCUCGCCCCGUCUCCUCCUAUCCCCUCCAGGGCCUCGCCCCGUCUCCUCCUAUCCCCUCCAGGGCCUCGCCCCGUCGGCCCUUAUCCCCAGCACGGCCUCGCCCCGCCCCCUCCUCUCACCACCGCGGCCUUGCCUCGCCGCCAACCCCGCGGAUCUUCCCUGGAUCGACUCUGCCGCCUCCAUCCUACUGCCCCAGAGGAUAUCGAGAUGUGAGCUGGUCGACACAAUUCGGGAGCAGGCAUAUGGAAUUGGAUCGAGAUCCAGUGCGUCAUCAAGUCGCUCUGGGAAGGAGUUCGCAGCUCGCGUACGUGCUCUACAGGAUCAGCCUAAUCUCUCUGUCGCCGCUGUUGUUGGCUUGCAAUAGACCAGACUAUUUCCAGAGGUACCACAAAGUGGUUGAUUCAAAGUUCACACUAUUUAUAUCACAGGAUGGUACAAAUGGAGAAAAAAAUAAGGCCUGGAGCUAUACCCAAAUUUAUGCAGCCCAAUGAAGUGUAUCGCCUUGAGCUCCAUUAUUUAGGCCAGAUCUCAUGAGAUGUGUUGUGACAAUUGCAUUGGCAUACAAUAAGCUGUUGUAUGGUGGUUGCCUUCUUGUACAUGAGCUUGCGACUGCGGGAGAUCACGACUUGUUCUUUUGAAUUUUUUUGGUUCAUCUCAUGAUCCUUCAAGCCAGCCAAGGGGGAGAUCAGUGAAGAGGUGAAGUAGAAAAUGCUGCACGGAAUAGGAGGCAUAUCUUCAACUGGUUUGAUGCAUGUUGGAAGAGGCUUGAAGUGGCGGUCGUAACACAGUAAGUUGGGAGGACUCAAUGGCAGAGUUAAUAUUAUCAACAUUUUCCUUGUUAGACCCGACAGUAUCUGGUGUUGUUAGUUCACAUGGACCAUGAAGUGGAGUCUGAUCACUCAUUACCACAUCAACAGGUCCUGAAAGGGAGUACGUACCCCACUACGCUGAGAUCCGGACAUACUGUCUUCUCAAUGGCUCCUGUUAUGAAACACUUCUGAACCCUGCCUGAACUUAGUGUGCUAUGCAAAUCAUGAUGUACUGUAAGUAUAAAAUUACACGUUGUCAGAUUAAAAGAGCAAUUCCUUUUGUCUUAUGUCUGACCAAAAGACGUGCAAAUUCAGUUGAUCUAACCUGUGCACUGCAAGGUUUGGCAGUAGUCAUAUGUAUUGGAGAUGUUGCUGGCUACAGGGGUGAUGACACCGGAGGUAAGGCAGCGCGCCGGGUCGAGGACGUCGCAGACACCGGGGACGAGGGCGGCGGCGUGACGACGGCGUAUUGAGGAGAGUUAGGGCUGCAAGGCGGGUCGAGGACGUCGCGGAGACCAGGGGCGAGGGUCGCGUGCCAAGGGCGGCCGGGCGGGGCGGGGCGGAGCGGGGACGGCGGGACGGCGUGCCGACGCGAGGUUCGUGGCGUGGUGGCGUUGAUUGCGGAGAUAGGGCAUUAUUCGCUGGAUGGAGUUGUUAUCGUUGGGAUGUGUAGGAGCCUGGACGUGGGAGUCUGCCGGCAGAACAUUUCGUUUGAACCGUCGAUCUGUUUGUAAAAUGGUUGAUGAAACGUGGACUGUUGGAUGGUAGUUAGUGGGUAUGAACGGACGUCUUGGGUAAUCCUGUGUGCACUUUUUCGUGUGGAUGUAGGGGAAGUAACGUUUGGUCUUUUAAUAGUAGUAUAGAUA